UCUAGUACAGUUUCUGUUGCCGCAGCAAUCGCGAUCGCGAACCCAAUCUGCUGCAUGCAGCUUGCGAUCGUGAGAAAUGGACUCCUGCGUUCGACCUGCUCGCUCUCAUGGCUUAAUUUACUGCCCGAAUCAAGAUCGGAGUUCCUUGCCAUAUCGCAGCGCCAAGGCUGCCGGAGCUGACGCACCAUAUUGGAGACAACCGGCGGCAGGCCGGACUGCGAGAAGCCGCGGGAGGUGAGUGAAGCAGGCCGAGCUCCGCUCUAAGAGCGCGCCGAUGGUGCUUGACGAAAUGGCCCCGUCGGAAUGCCCGGGUGGUGGUGCUCGACUAAAUGACCCCCUGCGGGUGCAGGACUGGUGCUCGACGAAAUGCGUGAAAGAAACCAUCCUGAGAAAGGGGCAUCCCGUGUCUUUCUCCCACCCAGGUUGCCAGGCGCUGCAGCUGGGGCUAUGCUUUCUCUGAAGUUCUCUGCAAUGCCCGGACGUAAUUCCAGCCACUGCGGCAGCAACAUGACGAUGACAACAAUGGACGCCACAAAGGAGGUGGAGUUGCUGUAGAAGAAGGCGAGGUACCGGGGCCUCCUGUUGUCAUGCAUGAUCGGGUUGCCUGCAUCAUACCAACUGCUGUCGUGCUGCCAAGCUCCCCCAGGCGGAUCUAGACCAGCCUGAACGGUAGGAACAGUGCAGCUAUGACAAAGAGGACCACAACCCCCAAGACAAAGAUGUAGAUGGAUGUUUUCAGAUGCUGGGUGCUUCCGGCAGCAUAGGCCCCUAUCAGACCAAACAUGCCCGCCGCCGUGCAAACAGCGAGUGCAUAACUUCGUAUGGCUGGCCUAUAUAAAUGGGGGUUCACGAGCAAUAUAAUGAGGGC